GCCUGCUGCUUACUUACAGCACACAGUGUCUUUCGUUGUGUGUUUUGUUUUGCUCCGUUCUCCCGAGCUUCUUUAAUACUUUCUUAAGGGGACAGUCAAGGAUUCUUUCUGAAUCCCCAAAGAGGAUGCAUCUUGCUUACUCAGCAGCGUGUGAGCUGGCUAGUCAUCAGGAGCCCAAAUGAAGCUACACAUUCGUGGAAAAUCAAGAAGCAGAGAGCCGAGCAGGAGAUGGGCUAAGCCAGGGGUGUGCACGUCUCUCCCCUCGGGGGCUGUGGCUUCGGAUGCUUCAUCUCUAACUGGAUUGCAGAUGCUGGGAUGUGCUGUCAUUGGGAGGAAGAGCUAGUUUCGAUCCUUACGGAAGAGCAUGACUGGCCGCUGGAGGGAGGAGAAGAGUUAUUGUUUAAUGCAUACAGAGUUUCCAUUUGGGAUGAUGAAAAAGUUCUGGAAAUGGAAUGGUGGAGAGAGUUGCACAAUACUGUGAAUGUACUUAAUGCCACGGAAUUGUACACUUAAGAGCUGGUAAGAUAGUAACUUGUGUGUUAUGCGCAUUUUAUCACAAUUUUUGAAAAGCCACAUGUGAUAUAAGGCUGUAGUUGCCAUAAUCAUUACUUAUCUUGUUUAUUUAUUAUUAUCUUUAUUGUGGUCACCUCCACUAAGAUUAUAAGCUGCUGAAGGACUGGGCUCUUCUCUUCACAGCUUGAUUCCCCAGGAUUUUGCAUUGUGUCUGACACUGCAACAAGCACUCAGUAAAUAUCUGUGGAAAGAAUAUAUCUGUAUCUGCCCAACGUGGACAAGGUUCAAGUGUUUUUCCUGUAAGGCCCCCAAAGUUCCACACAGAUCAGUGGAUGCAGAGAGAUGCUCUGGAGAAGAAUAUCACCCAUCUCCAGCUGACUGAUUUAGUUUGACAUAGCCCAGCUAGGAUUUCCCUUUUGCAUGUAACACAUAGGCUGAUGAAAGCCAAAGUAUCGUAUCAGCUGCAACCACCGUCAGCCUCUCUUCUCUCUGUCUUUCUGCUUCCAUGAGCUGCCCAGAGCCUCUUACUGCAGCACCCAGGCAGGUCAGCAUUGAUCUGGUUCAGUGUAGGGCCUUUCUCCUUGUUAUCAAAACAUCCCUUCCUCUUUCCCAGUCUCUGAAGACUCUGCUACUAUGUGAUGAAAGGUGGUAAGUGGACUAAACAGGUCAACUACUUGAAUGUCAUUUGUGGUGAAGAGAUACCAGGGCCCCUUUGAUAAUAAAACACAUCUAAGCUAUAGCUAAAGGAGCAAAAAACCAUUUUUGCAACUGUAGGAAUUCAGGUUUUUGCAGAAGCGUAUACUUUGUUUUGGAUUUUGUGUAAAGAUUUAAAAUUAAUUGAAACAUUAGAA